rnacentral:rRNA from 1 species
GAUGUAACAUGGUUACCGAAGACUUUUCUGUCACCGAAGAGUGCCUACGUCUCUGCCUGAUAGUGGGGGAUAACGUCCGAGAAACGGGCGCUAAUACCGCAGACGUCCUAAGGGAGAAAGUGGGGGAUCUUCGGACCUCACGCUAUCAGAUGAGCCUAGGCCCGAUUAGCUAGUUGGUGGGGUAAAGGCCUACCAAGGCGACGAUCCGUAACUGGUCUGAGAGGAUGAUCAGUCCACUGGAACUGAGACACGGCCCAGACUCCUACGGGAGGCAGCAGUGGGGAAUAUUGGCCAAUGGGGAAAGCCUGAUCCACCCAUGCCGCGUGUGUGAAGAAGGUCUUCGGAUUGUAAAGCACUUUAAGUUGGGAGGAAGGGAAGAAAGUCAAUACCUUGUUGUUUUGACGUUACCAACAGAAUAAGCACCGGCUAACUUCGUGCCAGCAGCCGCGGUAAUACAAAGGGUGCAAGUGUUAAUCGGAAUUACUGGGCGAACAGGGCGCCUAGGGCGCUCCCCAAGCGGGAUGUGAAAUCCCGGGGUUCAACCUGGGAACUGCUUCCAAAACUACUGAGCUAGAGUACGGUAGAGGGUGGUGGAAUCUUCCUGGGUACCCGGCGAAAUGCCUACAUAUACGAAAGGAACACCAGCGGCCAAAGGCGACCACCUGGGACUGAUACUGACACCUGAGGGGCGAAAAAGCGUGGGGGAGGCGGAUUAGAUACCCUGGUAGUCCACGCCGUAAACGAUGUCGACUAGCCGUUGGGAUCCUUGAGAUCUUAGUGGCGCAGCUAACGCGAUAAGUCGGCCCGCCUGGGGAGUCCGGCCGCAAGGUUAAAACUCAAAUGAAUUGACGGGGGCCCGCACAACCGGUGGAGCAUGUGGUUUAAUUUGAAGCAACGCGAAGAACCUUACCUGGCCUUGACAUGCUGAGAACUUUCCAGAGAUGGAUUGGUGCCUUCGGGAACUCAGACACAGGUGCUGCAUGGCUGUCGUCAACUCGUGUCGUGAGAUGUUGGGUUAAGUCCCGUAACGAGCGCAACCCUUGUCCUUAGUUACCAGCACCUCGGGUGGGCACUCUAAGGAGACUGCCGGUGACAAACCGGAGGAAGGUGGGGAUGACGUCAAGUCAUCAUGGCCCUUACGGCCAGGGGCUACACCCGUGCUACAAUGGUCGGUACAAAGGGUUGCCAAGCCGCGAAGGUGGAGGUAAUCCCAUAAAACCGAUCGUAGUCCGGAUCGCAGUCACAACUCGACUGCGUGAAGUCGGAAUCGCCUAUAAUCGUGAAUCAGAAUGUCAAGGUGAAUCCGGUCCCGGAAAGUGUUAACACGGUCCCUCAAGAGUUUCCACAAGGUCCUCGAGUCAUAUCA